rnacentral:rRNA from 1 species
UACGUAGGCAGCAAGCGUUGUUCGGAGUUACUGGGCGUAAAGCGUGCGCAGGCGGUUAUGCAAGACAGAUGUGAAAUCCCCGGGCUCAACCUGGGAACUGCAUUUGUGACUGCAUGGCUAGAGUACGGUAGAGGGGGAUGGAAUUCCGCGUGUAGCAGUGAAAUGCGUAGAUAUGCGGAGGAACACCGAUGGCGAAGGCAAUCCCCUGGACCUGUACUGACGCUCAUGCACGAAAGCGUGGGGAGCAAACAGG